ACAGCUUCACUUUCUUGAUCUACCCAAAAUGGACUCCUUGAUAGCUUAAAUUCUAGUGCGACUGUUUAUGUGAAGCCAGAAUAACGUUCCUCUCGCUAUCCAGUGUAGCGUCUAUGCUGCAUUUGGACGUUGGGGAACAAUAUAU
rnacentral:snoRNA from 1 species